rnacentral:tRNA from 1 species
GCCGAGGUGGCGGAAUUGGUAGACGCGUCGGACUCAAAAUCCGAUUCCCCUUAAAGGGAGUGAGAGUUCGAGUCUCUCCCUCGGCA